CACAGGCUCAGGGUGAGAAUGACCCACAAACUCCUUCUAGCUUUAGAGCAACUGUGUUUUCAAUGUGGUUCAUUCAGCACCCUGGAAGUUUUUCAUGGGAAUUUGUGGCUGUGAGUGAACCCAAGAGCUUCUGAUCACUUAACUUGGAAAAUGGGUUUUCAUUUUGUAGAAGGUUCCAGUCUCAGAAUACCCAGCCAAAAGAUUUUGGGUGAGAGCUCUGGAAAAAGCAGAUGAACAAUAUCACAGAUGGGGGCAGCAUGCUCUCCUGUACCCAUGGCGACAACAACAAGCUGGGUGACAUCGAUGUAGCAGCCCUUUGCCCACUUUCAUCCCCAAAACUGUCCUAAGAGAUAUCAA